rnacentral:rRNA from 1 species
GAUGAACGCUGGCGGCGUGCCUAAUACAUGCAAGUCGAGCGAACAGACGAGGAGCUUUCUCCUCUGACGUUGGCGACUGACGGGUGAAUGACACGUGGAUAACCUACCUAUAAGACUUGGAUAACUUCGUGAAACCGGAGCUAAUACCGGAUAAUAUAUUGAACCGCAUGGUUCAAUAGUGAAAGACGGUUUUGCUGUCACUUAUAGAUGGAUCCGCGUCGCAUUAGCUGGUUGGUAAGGUAACGGCUUACCAAGGCAACGAUGCGUAGCCGACCUGAGAGGGUGAUCGGCCACACUGGAACUGAGACACGGUCCAGACUCCUACGGGAGGCAGCAGUAGGGAAUCUUCCGCAAUGGGCGAAAGCCUGACGGAGCAACGCCGCGUGAGUGAUGAAGGUCUUCGGAUCGUAAAACUCUGUUAUUAGGGAAGAACAAAUGUGUAAGUAACUAUGCACGUCUUGACGGUACCUAAUCAGAAAGCCACGGCUAACUACGUG